CACAGACACUCGGGCGCCGCUUCUGCGCAUGCUCCGCCCUGACUCCCGCCGGCCCCUGCGGCGCAUGCGCCUCCCGCCCCGCCCCCCUGCAGCGGCCAUCUUGUGAGAGCAUCGCAACCCGGAAGUGCUGUGAGGGCUGGGUUGCAGUGCCGCGAGAUCUCGCCUUUCCACCGGCCGCAGCCGCCGCUUGGGAGCUGGGGCCUCCCGCUACUCCGGGCGGGGGAGGGGACCAGCAUGGGCACCCGGGCAGCGCGCACCCCGCGGGGGCAGACCCCGGCUCUUCUCCCCCUCCCCCGAGUGGGCUGUUGCAGAGGGCUCCCAUGCUUGAAGCUGAGACCCAGGAAUGAAGUUAUGCGCCAGGGUGGGCAGGGUGUUCAAAAACCCCGCAACCACAACAUGCAAGAGGUUAGCAUGUCAGGGACAGGUGCUGGGGGACCUGUGAGGGACCUGGCCCCUUCCCCACCAUCUGCUCUGAGGCACACAUGCAUCCACUGCUGGCAACGAGCCAGGCCAGGGCUCCACGCAUGCUGGUGGCUGCCUGCUGAACAUAGCCUGGGCUCUAGCCAGUAGCAGGGGCCUGCCCAGAGCCUGGGCUGGCUGUAGCAGGCCUGGCAAAAUGGCUUCACGUACCAGACCCAUGUUCUACACCUGUGAUAUUUUUAAAGAGGGUCAGGGGGAAGGACACUUGUUAGUAUAAUGACUUAACUUGCCUUUCAAAGAAUCCCAGGGCACAAACCUCAUCACACACAGAGAGAAUACAGUAAUACCCUAAGAGCUGUUGUAGAGGUGCAUAAACUAGAACAAUUUGAAAUACUGGAAGCAAGUAAGAAACCCACAAGUCAGUAUUAUAAAAAUAAGAGGCAUCAUUGGGACUCCAUUUGGAUGUAAGAAAUACUGUAAAUUACAGGGCUAGGUGCUAAGAUAAAAUAAUUUGAAAAAGUCUGACUAUCUUAUGUCAGUCAGAAAUAAGUUUUGGCCUACAAAUUUGUUAGUGCUGAUUUAAAUAUUUUUGUGGCUGACAAAAUGAUAACUUACAGCACAGACAAAUUUAGCAGUUGUAACAAUAGUCUAAAAUCAUUAUCUUUUAAGUCAAGUAGUAGUAGAAACGGGUAAGAAGUAAGACCACAGGUCAAGUAAGAAAAAGAUCUAACUAACAGUGAGGAUCUCACUUGGAAGGCAGGAUCAAGAAGAUCUCUGAUUAUAUUUCAAAGCAUCCAAUUGAAAACUAUGAAGAUAAAUUUUUAUACAACUCAUAAUUAACCUGUGGAACAUUCUACCACAAGAUUUCACAGCUAGUCAGAGCAUUAUAGUAUUCAACAUACACUGAUCAUGAAAUAUCCACUACGUUAAAUAAAGCGUGACUUAUGCUAUAAAGCAGCAGCUGACAACCUUUAACAAGCCACUGGCUGGAACAACCUAGCUCUGGUUUGACAUGAGGUGUGCCUGUGCAAAGGCCUAGCAGCUGGGAAUUGUACCCACACCACUGCCACUUCCCCAGCUCCCCAGCUGCAGUGUAGGUGCAGCUUCCAGCCUGUGGGAGCUACUUCCAGGCCAGGCAGCUGGAAGCUGCAUCCUCAUCGCUGCUGCUUCUCCCUAGCAUAGGCAUAGGCAAAGCCUUCUGGCUCCAUAGGCUUUAUGUUGCCAACCCCUACUCUGAAGAAUAACGAUUUAUACCUUCUGAAUUAUCUAAUGGUGAUUAAAAAGUACAGAACAACAGUGUGCAUACAGAUGCAUGUUAGAUUCAUUGUGAGCAUGCAGGUUAGAUUUGCUCUUAAGAAUCAGGCAGAAGUGGAUCUUUAUGAGGGACUGGGUAAGGGUGGGUUUUCUGAGUGAGCUCAAGGACACUGCUAUGCUGCACUAAAAGACUGAUGAAAACACCAGUAUCACACUAGUCCUGUUACUCUAGAACCUGGACCACUGGAAAUUUUAAGAAAUAUAUUAAAGUAGGCCAGUCCCUCAUGAUGGGCACUAGAAAGUAACUAACUUUACAUUCAGGUACCUUGCAUAUUUUUUAGGCAUCUAAUGUCCAUCACUGUUGGAAAUCGGAUGCCAGAUUAGACACGUCGCUGAUCUAAUCCUGUAUUUGAAAUCAUACAUUCCUACUUUCCACUUUAAACAUUAAUAUGUUCUUAAGUUUACAGGCUCUGGCUCUAAUAUUACAAAAUAGUUACCUGAGUUUUCUGUGGUGACAGAUUUAUUUUCCCAUCUUUUCCCCUUCUUUCUGCCCUCAUUUUUCAGCCCCACAUUUUUAAACUUUUAUGGUAAUCACUUCCUCUUUCUUUCUGCACCAAAAAGCUUUGUCCUGCUCUACACGGAGUAAAUUAAACCUUGUAUAACAAUCUAGGAUGCAACUUGUGCCAACUAGGCUAGUAACAUGCUUGUACAUGUAGUAUAGACAACACCUUUAGGUAUAAAGCAGACAGUUGUGCCUAUUUUGUGACAGGCAUCCAGGAUCACACAAUUUUGUUGAUUAACUAUAUAAUCAGCUGUCUUAUUCAGAUCAUGUUUGGGAAGGAAUAGGACUGAUAGCCCCUGGGCUGGGCUGAGCACCUUUUCAUUGCAGUCUGCCCUGUUCUCCUUUAAGCAGGCUAUGAAACAUCAUCCCAAUAUUUUAUAAGGCACAUUUAAAUUAGUUUCAGUUUUGGUGACUAUUAACAAAAUGUGUCAAAGAUACUCUCUGUUUUUGUACCUGUGAAUCAAACCAUGCAAUGUAUGUCAUGUGGACUAUUGAAUACACUGGGGGCUGUUCCACCUAACACUAGGCCUCAAAGGAAACAAUACAUUUUGGUCUAGUCUAUACUGUGGUAAAAAACCAUAACUAUCAUUAGCAAGCAACUACCUUGUAACUGGGCAGUGGAAUACACUUUUAAUGUUAGUUUAAACACAGACAAGGAGAAGGGAAAAAUAGGAGAAACAUUUCUUCUAGUAACAAUAUUGUUGCCUCCGUUAAUUGCCAUGGAAGAUAAAAAAUCGCAUUAACUGGCAUAUCAAUAUUACUAGAAGCAGUUGAUGGAUUUUGGCAAAUUCUAUUCCACCUUGGUAAACUCAAGCUGACAGCAUUUUUGGAAGAUACAGUUUCUCUUGCCUCCCGUAUACUGUUAUACUUGCCCCAAAAAUCUUCCAAGGAGAAAUGAGCAAGAUUCUGGAAAUCGGGAAAGAAAUGGAAAUUCAUAUGGAUAGCAGCUAAUGUUUGGAAAAGGCCAUUGUAUAAGGUUAAAAUUAGGCAAGGUGCUGGAAUAUAAAGUUAGAGAAAAGCAUUCAGUGACAAACCAGUCUAUACUCCUUAGGCUGGAUGACUGAUGGAGGGCGGAACUAGAAAAGUUACAGCUAACACUGAAAUGCCACCACUGAAAAUAAUAUCAUCCUACAGUAUGAUAAAAUAUUGAAGCAAAUUGCAGGAUGAUACAUUAGGGUAUGAGAGUUAUAAAAUGCUGAGAGUGAGGUUUUAUGUUUAUGCAUUGGUCUGGCAUAAGACAAAAAGUAAAAAAAAAAGUGAGAUUGUACAGGUCUUUCAGAACAACCAGAAAAAGCCUCACAUGCCCUGUUUCUAGAAGAAAAAGUGAUUGGCAAUGGACAACACUUCACAAGCUAUGACUUUUAAGAGUUUAGUAUAGAGUAUUACCUCAUACAUUAUUUCCAGUCUAUCUGUGAUACAUUUUUCUUGCCAUAGUAUCAGAGCACCUGAUGAGAUGGAAGACUACUAUUAUCUCUGCUUCGCAGAGUGGGAAUAGAGGCACAGAGAGGACAACUCACUUGACAAAAGACAAAAAAGUACCAUGAUGGAAUAGAGACUGGGAUCCCAGUUUCCUAGCUCCUAGAUCAAUACCAUAACCACUGGACUAUCAUUCCUAUCCCACUGUUUGCAAUAGAUGUGUGCACAGACUAAAUGCAGAAGUGCCUGCCAAGGAUUUUAUUAUGUUGUUAUUAAAUACCUGCUUAUAUAAUUUAAUGUCCAUCUGCAAAAAGUUAAUUUUGUUGGAUUUUUAGGCAUAAACCAAUGAAAAAAGUUUCCAUUUACCCUUGUUCAUAUUUAAAUCUACAUUAUAAUUCCAUUUGUUACAAAAACGUAGUAUUUACAGCAAGAUUAAUUGUCAUGUGUGGUAAUAUUUCACUUUUGAUACUCCUUGACCUAAAGAGUUUCUUCCACCUCUGCUUUGCUCCAUCUUAGUUACUUAUUUCUAUGUAAGCUUUACAUAUCUGCGUGUGCGUAAACUGAUAACUGUUGUCUGAAUGCCAAUCUGAGUUACAUGCAGCAAAGUAUGGACCAUUUCUCUUCAGCUUGUGACAAUUUUGGUCUCACAAUCAACACUAAGAAGACAGAGGUUAUCAGCCUGCACCAGUAAAGCCUUAUGUAGAGCCUACUGCCACAGUUAAUGGCCAGACCCUCCAGGCAGUGGACAAGUUCGCCUAUCUCGGCAGUCAUCUAUCACAUGCAGCUCACAUCAAUGAUGAAACCAACACCAGAAUUGUUAAAGCAAGUGCGGCCUUCAGCAUACUGCAUGCAAACGUGUGGGAGUUCAGAGGCAUCAUUCAACAAACAAAGCUGAAGGUCUACAAAGCCGUUGUAUUGCUAAUCCUGAUAUAUACGUGGGAAACCAGGACGGUCUACAGAUGCCAUGCUACAAUGCUGAACCACUUUCACAUGGGCUGUCUGAGGAAAUUGAUGAGGAUAAGAUGGCAAGGCAAAGUCCCAGACACUGAGGUUCUCGCACACUCAGGCAUGCCAAGCAUCUACACUCUGUUGAUGAAAUCACAGAUGAGAUGGGCAGGCCAUGUCACCAGGAUAUCAGAUGAGAGACUGCCAAAGAAGAUCUCUGGUGAGCUAAAGGAGGGAAAGUGCUCUCAGGGAGGCCAGAAGAAACAUUUCAAGGACUCCCUCAAGUCAGCCUUGAAACAUUCAACAUUGACCCAAAGUCUUGGCAAGAUCUAGUUUAUGAUCAUUCCACCUGGCAAAGCUUCAUCCAUACUGGAGCUACAGUCUAUGAGCUGAGGAGAACUGCUGAGGCAGAGCAGAAGUGCAAAACAGCAUAAAUCUCACAACAGCAGCACGUCCACUGUUGAUCAAGCAACCCAAAGAGGUAUCUCUUGCUCAGUGUAGCACAGACAGUUGAAAACACAAAUUGGCCUGAUCAACCACUUGUGCUCACAGAAACCAAACCAACCAGAGAUGGUCAGCUUUGAAUUCGAAGGACAAACAACAACAUGUAUAUGUAUGCAGUGUCAUUAAUAAAGAAUAGUUUUCACACAGAA